rnacentral:pre_miRNA from 1 species
AGUGGGAUAACUGGAUUAAAUGGUGGUUCCAUUCCAAGUUUUCUGAGUAAUCUUCAUACUGCUUUCCAGAGUGGUUGCACCAAUUUGCAGUCCCACCAGCAAU